GACGAACGCUGGCGGCGUGCUUAACACAUGCAAGUCGAACGGAAAGGCCCUGCUUUUGUGGGGUGCUCGAGUGGCGAACGGGUGAGUAACACGUGAGUAACCUGCCCUUGACUUUGGGAUAAAUUCAGGAAACUGGGGCUAAUACCGGAUAUAAUCUCCUGCUGCAUGGUGGGGGUUGGAAAGUUUCGGCGGUUGUGGAUGGACUCGCGGCUUAUCAGCUUGUUGGUGGGGUAGUGGCUUACCAAGGCUUUGACGGGUAGCCGGCCUGAGAGGGUGACCGGCCACAUUGGGACUGAGAUACGGCCCAGAAUCCUACGGGAGGCAGCAGUGGGGAAUAUUGCACAAUGGGCGGAAGCCUGAUGCAGCAACGCCGCGUGCGGGAUGACGGCCUUCGGGUUGUAAACCGCUUUCGCCUGUGACGAAGCGUGAGUGACGGUACUGGGUAAAGAAGCACCGGCUAACUACGUG
rnacentral:rRNA from 1 species